rnacentral:lncRNA from 1 species
UUUACUGUCGACCACACUGUUAUGAAUUUCGUUCUAUAAUUCGCCAUACUUAUGAAUUUCAGACUGUAAUAAUCGGACAAUAAUAAGAAAUAUAUUUUCUCCCACGUACAUUUGCCAGAAUUUUGAUGUUUCCCAUACAAUGAAAAAUAAGUCGUGGUAUGGUUGCCAUUGAAACACUUUCAUCCAAGAGAUUGAUUGAUUUAUGAUUGCUUAAGCCUCGGUCACACCUUACCGGAUAGCUCGAACGGACGCCUAACGGAUAACUUUUUUUUCAAUCCGUUAGACGUCCGUCCAUAUCCGUUGCAUGUCCGUUAAGCGUCCGUUUUAUCCGUUGCAUGUCCGUUAAGCGUCCGUUUUAUCCGUCGACGUCCGUUCUGUCCGGUGGAAAAUUUUGAGCAUGUUCAAAACUUUGAACGGACGUCUAACGGAUAAAAUGUCCGUUGAACGUCCGUUAGACGUCCGUUAGGCGUCCGUUUUGUACGGUACUCGUCCGUUUCGUUUCCGUUUUGUAUCCGUUACGUGUCCGUUAUACAUCCGUUGGAGGUCUGGCAGAUAAAUUCACCAACGGACUUCUAACGGACGUCUAACGGAUAAAACGGAUGAGAAACGGACUUCUAACGGACGUAUAACGGACAUAACGGAUGAUGAACGGAUCUGAAACGGAUAAAAUUGAUGCCAAUUGAAAAUUUCUCGUCAGAAAUGCCAAAAAUAUUU